CCUACGGGUGGCAGCAGUGAGGAAUAUUUGUCAAUGGACGAGAGUCUGAACCAGCCAAGCAGCGUGAAGGAUGACUGCCCUACGGGUUGUAAACCUCUUUUAUAUGGGAAUAAAACAGGGUAUGCAUACCCUCUUGUAUGUACCAUACGAAUAAGGAUCGGCUAACUCCGUGCCAGCAGCCGCGGUAAUACGGAGGAUCCGAGCGUUAUCCGGAUUUAUUGGGUUUAAAGUGAGCGUAGGUGGUUUGUUAAGUCAGUUGUGAAAGUUGGCGGCUCAACCGUAAAAUUGCAGUUGAAACUGGCAGUCUAGAGUACAGUAGAGGUAGGCGGAAUGCGUGGUGUAGCGGUGAAAUGCUUAGAUAUCGCGAAGAACUCCGAUUGCGAAGGCAGCUCACUGGACUGCAACUGACACUGAUGCACGAAAGUGUGGGUAUCGAACAGGAUUAGAUACCCGAGUAGUC
rnacentral:rRNA from 1 species